GUGAACCGAAGGUUUUUUAUGGAGAAAUUUAGGAUGGAUAAGUAUGAUGAGUUGUUUGGGGUAUAAAUAAUAUUGGAAGUGGAAGAGUUAUUGUCUGAUCGAAGGGACAUACAUUGAAGAAAAUCAUCGUGUCCAUCAGAAGAAACUGCCCAUGAACACGAAAAAAUAACUAGAGAGGCAAAUAAAAAGGAAAAUAUACUUGGAGUCUUCAUCGGUGUUUAAGGUAAAGCUGAUUAAUUUGUGUAUUGCAGAGCAUAGAACAGGUUCAAUUUAUAUAUCCUGAAGGAGCAUGCUUAUUUUGAAAUUACAAUGAAUAUUAAUAUGAACAUCAGGUUUGAAAUUCCUGCUAUAAUGAUUGUAUGUUAGCGAAUGGUCUGAUUAAAUUUGCUGUCGUGAACAAGUUUCUCAACAUUAUUUUGUUCACUUGC
rnacentral:lncRNA from 1 species